rnacentral:rRNA from 1 species
AUUGAACGCUGGCGGCAGGCCUAACACAUGCAAGUCGAGCGGGGUUUUCGGACCUAGCGGCGGACGGGUGAGUAAUGCGUAGGAAGCUACCCGAUAGAGGGGGAUACCAGUUGGAAACGACUGUUAAUACCGCAUAAUGUCUACGGACCAAAGUGUGGGACCUUCGGGCCACAUGCUAUCGGAUGCGCCUACGUGGGAUUAGCUAGUUGGUGAGGUAAUGGCUCACCAAGGCGACGAUACCUAGCUGGUUUGAGAGGAUGAUCAGCCACACCGGAACUGAGACACGGUCCAGACUCCUACGGGAGGCAGCAGUGGGGAAUAUCGGACAAUGGGCGCAAGCCUGAUCCAGCCAUGCCGCGUGUGUGAAGAAGGCCUUCGGGUUGUAAAGCACUUUCAGUAGGGAGGAAGGGUGUUGUGUUAAUAGCACAGCAUUUUGACGUUACCUACAGAAGAAGCACCGGCUAACUCUGUGCCAGCAGCCGCAGUAAAAC